UACGUAGGCAGCGAGCGUUGUUCGGAGUUACUGGGCGUAAAGGGUGUGUAGGCGGUUGUUUAAGUUUGGUGUGAAAUCUCCCGGCUCAACUGGGAGGGUGCGCCGAAUACUGAAUGACUAGAGUGCGGGAGAGGAGAGUGGAAUUCCUGGUGUAGCGGUGAAAUGCGUAGAUAUCGUAAGGAAGACCAGUGGCGAAGGCGGGUCUCUGGACAGUUCCCGACGCUGAGGCACGAAGGUCAGGGGAGCAAACGGG
rnacentral:rRNA from 1 species